UACAGAGGGUGCAAGCAUUGUUCGGAAUUAUUGGGCGUAAAGGGCGCGUAGGCGGCGCGACAAGUCACCUGUGAAAUCUCCGAGCUUAACUCGGAGCCUGCAGGCGAAACUGUCGUGCUGGAGUAUGGGAGAGGUGCGUGGAAUUCCUGGUGUAGCGGUGAAAUGCGCAGAUAUCAGGAGGAACACCGGUGGCGAAGGCGGGUCUCUGGGCUGAUACCGACGCUGAGGCGCGAAAGCCAGGGGAGCAAACGGG
rnacentral:rRNA from 1 species